rnacentral:rRNA from 1 species
UCAUGGCUCAGGACGAACGCUGGCGGCGUGCUUAACACAUGCAAGUCGAACGAUGAAGCCUAGCUUGCUAGGUGGAUUAGUGGCGAACGGGUGAGUAAUACGUGAGUGACCUACCUUUUGACUCUGGGAUAAGCCUGGGAAACUGGGUCUAAUACCGGAUACGACCAAUCUCCGCAUGGGGUGUUGGUGGAAAGCGUUAUGGAGUGGUUUUAGAUGGGCUCACGGCCUAUCAGCUUGUUGGUGAGGUAAUGGCUUACCAAGGCGACGACGGGUAGCCGGCCUGAGAGGGUGACCGGCCACACUGGGACUGAGACACGGCCCAGACUCCUACGGGAGGCAGCAGUGGGGAAUAUUGCACAAUGGGCGCAAGCCUGAUGCAGCGACGCCGCGUGAGGGAUGACGGCCUUCGGGUUUGUAAACCUCUGUUAGCAUCGAAGAAGCGAAAGUGACGGUAGGUGCAGAGAAAGCGCCGGCUAACUACGUGCCAGCAGCCGCGGUAAUACGUAGGGCGCGAGCGUUGUCCGGAAUUAUUGGGCGUAAAGAGCUUGUAGGCGGUUGGUCGCGUCUGCUGUGAAAGGCUGGGGCUUAACCCUGGUUUUGCAGUGGGUACGGGCUAACUAGAGUGCAGUAGGGGAGACUGGAAUUCCUGGUGUAGCGGUGGAAUGCGCAGAUAUCAGGAGGAACACCGAUGGCGAAGGCAGGUCUCUGGGCUGUAACUGACGCUGAGAAGCGAAAGCAUGGGGAGCGAACAGGAUUAGAUACCCUGGUAGUCCAUGCCGUAAACGUUGGGCACUAGGUGUGGGGGACAUCCCACGUUUUCCGCGCCGUAGCUAACGCAUUAAGUGCCCCGCCUGGGGAGUACGGCCGCAAGGCUAAAACUCAAAGAAAUUGACGGGGGCCCGCACAAGCGGCGGAGCAUGCGGAUUAAUUCGAUGCAACGCGAAGAACCUUACCAAGGCUUGACAUAUACUGGACUGCGUCAGAGAUGGCGUUUCCCUUCGGGGCUGGUAUACAGGUGGUGCAUGGUUGUCGUCAGCUCGUGUCGUGAGAUGUUGGGUUAAGUCCCGCAACGAGCGCAACCCUCGUUCUAUGUUGCCAGCACGUGAUGGUGGGGACUCAUAGGAGACUGCCGGGGUCAACUCGGAGGAAGGUGGGGAUGACGUCAAAUCAUCAUGCCCCUUAUGUCUUGGGCUUCACGCAUGCUACAAUGGCCGGUACAGAGGGUUGCGAUACUGUGAGGUGGAGCUAAUCCCUAAAAGCCGGUCUCAGUUCGGAUUGGGGUCUGCAACUCGACCCCAUGAAGUCGGAGUCGCUAGUAAUCGCAGAUCAGCAACGCUGCGGUGAAUACGUUCCCGGGCCUUGCACACACCGCCCGUC